GGCUGGGGUGCAACCUCUGCUUCCUGGGUUCAAGCAAUUCUUCUGCCUCAGCCUCCUGAGUAGCUGGGAUUACAGGCAUGUACCAGCACACCCAGCUAAUUUUUGUAUUUUUAGUAGUGAUGGAGUUUUACCAUAUUUGCCAGGCUGGUCUUGAACUCCUGACCUCUAGUGAUCCACCCACCUCGGCCUCCCAAACUGCUGGGAUUACAGGUGUGAGCCUAAGUGCCCAGCCCCUUUAUCUAUUUUCUAAUUCUCCCCUAAUCUGAGCUUCCAGGGCCAUGGUUGGGAAAGGAGUGUGUGUGUGUGUGUGUGUGUGUGUGUGUGUGUGUGUGGCAGGGCAUAUAAAUCGGGGAAGAUUUAGGAAGGAGGAAGAGUCAACUCACAUUUAUUAAGCCGUUACUAUACUGUAUGUUUACCAGACACUAUACUAAGCAUGUGAUACGAUUUGGAUGUGUGUCUCCUCCAAAUCUCAUGUUAAAAUGUGAACCCCAGUGUUAGAACUGGGACCUAGUGGGGGUGUUUGGGUCUUGGGGGUGGAUCCCUCAUGAAUGGCUUGGUGCUGUCCUCUUGGGAAUUAGUAGAUUCUCGCUCUAUUCAUUCAUGUGAGAUCUGGUUUAAAAGAGCAUGGUGCUCUCCCUCUGUUGCUUUCGCUCUCGCCGUGUGACUGGCCUGCUCCUCCUUCACCUUCCUUCAUGACUGUAAGCUUCCUGAGGCCUCCCCAGAAGGUGAGCAGAUGCUGUUGCCAUGCUUGUAUAGCCUGCAGAACCAUGAGGCAAAUAAAUCUCUUUUUUUUUUUUUACAAAUUACCCAGCCUCAGGCAUUCCUUUAUAGCAUUGCAAAGGAAAAAUGUAGCGUGUAAGAAAUAAACCAAGGAAAUAACACAGAGUAUAAGAAAAAACCCAAUUCACAAAAGAGAUUAGGAGGUAACUGGACUAAGCAUUUGGACCAUGCUCGUCUGCUUGACCCUGAAGCCUGAGCGGGAACAUCUACAUUUCUUGUAGACCUAUAGAAAGAUUUCCUCCUUAAGAGUUCAAGUCUAACCUCUCCUCAGGUAAUGUCUCAAGAUGCAGAACUUUCCUAAUGCAUGAAAACUCAGAGGUUUUCCCUUUUGGGGUGUAAAGGGGCUUCCUGCCAGUGGCAAGGAACUGCUUUAUCACUGGUCACCACUCGUUCUUCAAGAAGGACAGCCCAGAGGAGCUGGCAUAGGCUUUCCAGAAACUCUCCCCGGCCACAUGGAAAGCCAGGAGACCCUGUAGUCCCUGCCCAGUGUGACUCAAGCCCUGGGUAGAAGGAAAGCAAGCUCCAACCUGCAGGCCAAGCCUGGCAUGCAGUGGGGCUGUGGGCAGACUGCCACCCCUGGCACCAAUGGUGCCAAAUAGGUUUGAGUUUCAACAUGUUAGGAGAGUGCAGGAGCCUGUGAGCAUAACUUUGCUGUCAACCAUGAAGCAGGGCCAAAGAAGAUCCAAGAGAGUCCAGCAGCACAGCAGUUGCAAGGGACAGACAUGGAUGUUGAGCUCCUGGUGACUCAGCCUUAUAUGGGGAAAGCAGAGCACCAUCUAACACCAGAGGACUGGAGUGCAGCCAGAGCAUUGCCCGAGCCAUCCAAGGGGAUGGAGGGCCCCUGGGAAAUACUUCAAAGGCAAGUGCAGCUGCUGCCUGCUCUGGAUUCUGUGAGGCCUCUAGGAUGACAUGGCUCGAAGCUUCUUCACUGGAGCCCAAUGCUUCAGCUUUCCAGAUGGAGUCCCACUCUGUCACCCAGGCUGGAGAGCAGUGGCGUGAUCUCAGUUCACCACAACCUCCACCUCCCAGAUUCAAGCGAUUCUCCUGCCUCAGCCUCCU